rnacentral:rRNA from 1 species
AAUCUCUAUCGGUGGAUCACUCGGCUCGUGCGUCGAUGAAGAUCGUCAGCCACUGCGUAAUUAGUGUUGAUAUUGCAGAUAUCUUUGAAACAUCCGACAUCUUGAACCAUAUUGCGCCUCAGGUCGUUCCUGUGGCCACGCCUGCAAGGCUCG